rnacentral:lncRNA from 1 species
GGGAGGAAGGGGAACCAGCUGGCCAGAAAAUUGCAAAGGUCGCUGAUGCAAUCUUGCAACAGCUUGCUCAGCCUUCCCUGUUAGAGCCCAGAGCCAGAGGGGAAAGGGUGCCAUUCUUAGGGGUCUGAGGUCAUUGGCCAGAGUCAGAAGCCAGCGUCAAUCCCUUGGUCUGCUACAGCCCUUCAGUUCUAGUCGAAGGUGAAAGUUUGGAAUUUAAAGUUCAUGCUUUAGUUGAUAGGUAAGUGAGCAAGGUAACCACAGGCCAAAUGUAGAUUAUUCUUGGAGGAGCCUGGCUUGGCUUUUUGUUCUUUUAACCUUGUCAAGCCAGAAAGUUCUGUAAGGAAGGUCUGAGCCAAGUUUAACUUCAGUCUUGGCAUUGUUCUUAAGCCUUCCUGAUAAAUUUGGAGCACUCCUAGUAGCUGGCAGCAGUGACCAUGGAACUUCCCCAAGGACCACGAGGGUUCCAGACACAGUGGCUCCUGGGAAAGAAUAUGAUGUAUACCUAGACAAGAGAGCACCCAAUUGGUUUCCCCCUCGGAAGAAUCCAAGCAGCAAGAUGGAGGAAAAAUCAAUUCAAAGCCUGAGGAGGACUGAUGAGGAAAAUGAUCCGAUGGGAGAACCUGGUUGAGACCAGUCCACCUUCACUGUGGUGCUAUCCCUGGGCAUGUGGUCCUGGGCUAUAGGAGAAGGCCGGCUGAGCAAGCUGUGAAGAGCAAGCCAGUAAGCAGCACUGUUACUGGAUUUUCUUUUCCAGUCAGGUUCCACCACCCUUCUCAGCCCCAAAGAAACACGCAGACGCUAUAUUAAUUAUAAAGCUAUUGGCUGAUGACUAGGGAUUCU